rnacentral:rRNA from 1 species
UUUGGUUAAGUUAGAAAGGGCGCACGGUGGAUGCCUUGACACUAGGAGUCGAUGAAGGACGGGACUAACGCCGAUAUGCUUCGGGGAGCUGUAAGUAAGCUUUGAUCCGAAGAUUUCCGAAUGGGGAAACCCACCAUACGUAAUGGUAUGGUAUCCUUAUCUGAAUACAUAGGGUAAGGAAGACAGACUCAGGGAACUGAAACAUCUAAGUACCUGGAGGAAGAGAAAGCAAAUGCGAUUUCCUGAGUAGCGGCGAGCGAAACGGAACAUAGCCCAAACCAAGAGGCUUGCCUCUUGGGGUUGUAGGACAUUCUAUACGGAGUUACAAAGGAACGAGGUAGACGAAGCGACCUGGAAAGGUCCGUCGUAGAGGGUAACAACCCCGUAGUCGAAACUUCGUUCUCUCUUGAAUGUAUCCUGAGUACGGCGGAACACGUGAAAUUCCGUCGGAAUCUGGGAGGACCAUCUCCCAAGGCUAAAUACUCCCUAGUGAUCGAUAGUGAACCAGUACCGUGAGGGAAAGGUGAAAAGCACCCCGGAAGGGGAGUGAAAGAGAUCCUGAAACCGUGUGCCUACAAAUAGUCAGAGCCCGUUAAUGGGUGAUGGCGUGCCUUUUGUAGAAUGAACCGGCGAGUUACGAUCCCGUGCGAGGUUAAGCUGAAGAGGCGGAGCCGCAGCGAAAGCGAGUCUGAAUAGGGCGUUUAGUACGUGGUCGUAGACCCGAAACCAGGUGAUCUACCCAUGUCCAGGGUGAAGUUCAGGUAACACUGAAUGGAGGCCCGAACCCACGCACGUUGAAAAGUGCGGGGAUGAGGUGUGGGUAGCGGAGAAAUUCCAAUCGAACCUGGAGAUAGCUGGUUCUCCCCGAAAUAGCUUUAGGGCUAGCCUUAAGUGUAAGAGUCUUGGAGGUAGAGCACUGAUUGGACUAGGGGUCCUCAUCGGAUUACCGAAUUCAGUCAAACUCCGAAUGCCAAUGACUUAUCCUUAGGAGUCAGACUGCGAGUGAUAAGAUCCGUAGUCAAAAGGGAAACAGCCCAGACCGCCAGCUAAGGUCCCAAAGUGUGUAUUAAGUGGAAAAGGAUGUGGAGUUGCUUAGACAACUAGGAUGUUGGCUUAGAAGCAGCCACCAUUUAAAGAGUGCGUAAUAGCUCACUAGUCGAGUGACUCUGCGCCGAAAAUGUACCGGGGCUAAAUACACCACCGAAGCUGCGGAUUGAUACCAAUGGUAUCAGUGGUAGGGGAGCGUUCUAAGGACAGUGAAGUCAGACCGGAAGGACUGGUGGAGUGCUUAGAAGUGAGAAUGCCGGUAUGAGUAGCGAAAGACGGGUGAGAAUCCCGUCCACCGAAUGCCUAAGGUUUCCUGAGGAAGGCUCGUCCGCUCAGGGUUAGUCAGGACCUAAGCCGAGGCCGACAGGCGUAGGCGAUGGACAACAGGUUGAUAUUCCUGUACCACCUCUUUAUCGUUUGAGCAAUGGAGGGACGCAGAAGGAUAGAAGAAGCGUGCGAUUGGUUGUGCACGUCCAAGCAGUUAGGCUGAUAAGUAGGCAAAUCCGCUUAUCGUGAAGGCUGAGCUGUGAUGGGGAAGCUCCUUAUGGAGCGAAGUCUUUGAUUCCCCGCUGCCAAGAAAAGCUUCUAGCGAGAUAAAAGGUGCCUGUACCGCAAACCGACACAGGUAGGCGAGGAGAGAAUCCUAAGGUGUGCGAGAGAACUCUGGUUAAGGAACUCGGCAAAAUGACCCCGUAACUUCGGGAGAAGGGGUGCUUUCUUAACGGAAAGCCGCAGUGAAUAGGCCCAAGCGACUGUUUAGCAAAAACACAGCUCUCUGCGAAGCCGUAAGGCGAAGUAUAGGGGGUGACACCUGCCCGGUGCUGGAAGGUUAAGGAGAGGGGUUAGCGUAAGCGAAGCUCUGAACUGAAGCCCCAGUAAACGGCGGCCGUAACUAUAACGGUCCUAAGGUAGCGAAAUUCCUUGUCGGGUAAGUUCCGACCCGCACGAAAGGUGUAACGAUUUGGGCACUGUCUCAACCAGAGACUCGGUGAAAUUAUAGUACCUGUGAAGAUGCAGGUUACCCGCGACAGGACGGAAAGACCCCGUGGAGCUUUACUGUAGCCUGAUAUUGAAUUUUGGUACAGUUUGUACAGGAUAGGCGGGAGCCUUUGAAACCGGAGCGCUAGCUUCGGUGGAGGCGCUGGUGGGAUACCGCCCUGACUGUAUUGAAAUUCUAACCUACGGGUCUUAUCGACCCGGGAGACAGUGUCAGGUGGGCAGUUUGACUGGGGCGGUCGCCUCCUAAAGUGUAACGGAGGCGCCCAAAGGUUCCCUCAGAAUGGUUGGAAAUCAUUCGUAGAGUGCAAAGGCAUAAGGGAGCUUGACUGCGAGACCUACAAGUCGAGCAGGGACGAAAGUCGGGCUUAGUGAUCCGGUGGUUCCGCAUGGAAGGGCCAUCGCUCAACGGAUAAAAGCUACCCCGGGGAUAACAGGCUUAUCUCCCCCAAGAGUCCACAUCGACGGGGAGGUUUGGCACCUCGAUGUCGGCUCAUCGCAUCCUGGGGCUGUAGUCGGUCCCGAGGGUUGGGCUGUUCGCCCAUUAAAGCGGUACGCGAGCUGGGUUCAGAACGUCGUGAGACAGUUCGGUCCCUAUCCGUCGUGGGCGUAGGAAAUUUGAGAGGAGCUGUCCUUAGUACGAGAGGACCGGGAUGGACGCACCGCUGGUGUACCAGUUGUUCUGCCAAGGGCAUAGCUGGGUAGCUAUGUGCGGAAGGGAUAAGUGCUGAAAGCAUCUAAGCAUGAAGCCCCCCUCAAGAUGAGAUUUCCCAUAGCGUAAGCUAGUAAGAUCCCUGAAAGAUGAUCAGGUUGAUAGGUUCGAGGUGGAAGCAUGGUGACAUGUGGAGCUGACGAAUACUAAUAGAUCGAGGACUUAACCAUAUAA